rnacentral:rRNA from 1 species
AGUCGACGGUAACAGAAAGCAGCUUGCUGCUUUGCUGACGAGUGGCGGACGGGUGAGUAAUGUCUGGGAAACUGCCUGAUGGAGGGGGAUAACUACUGGAAACGGUAGCUAAUACCGCAUAACGUCGCAAGACCAAAGAGGGGGACCUUCGGGCCUCUUGCCAUCGGAUGUGCCCAGAUGGGAUUAGCUAGUAGGUGGGGUAACGGCUCACCUAGGCGACGAUCCCUAGCUGGUCUGAGAGGAUGACCAGCCACACUGGAACUGAGACACGGUCCAGACUCCUACGGGAGGCAGCAGUGGGGAAUAUUGCACAAUGGGCGCAAGCCUGAUGCAGCCAUGCCGCGUGUAUGAAGAAGGCCUUCGGGUUGUAAAGUACUUUCAGCGGGGAGGAAGGGAGUAAAGUUAAUACCUUUGCUCAUUGACGUUACCCGCAGAAGAAGCACCGGCUAACUCCGUGCCAGCAGCCGCGGUAAUACGGAGGGUGCAAGCGUUAAUCGGAAUUACUGGGCGUAAAGCGCACGCAGGCGGUUUGUUAAGUCAGAUGUGAAAUCCCCGGGCUCAACCUGGGAACUGCAUCUGAUACUGGCAAGCUUGAGUCUCGUAGAGGGGGGUAGAAUUCCAGGUGUAGCGGUGAAAUGCGUAGAGAUCUGGAGGAAUACCGGUGGCGAAGGCGGCCCCCUGGACGAAGACUGACGCUCAGGUGCGAAAGCGUGNGGAGCAAACAGGAUUAGANACCCUGGUAGUCCACGCCGUAAACGAUGUCGACUUGGAGGUUGUGCCCUUGAGGCGUGGCUUCCGGAGCUAACGCGUUAAGUCGACCGCCUGGGGAGUACGGCCGCAAGGUUAAAACUCAAAUGAAUUGACGGG